rnacentral:rRNA from 1 species
AAUAGAUACCCUGGUAGUCCGCACCAUAAACGAUGGAUACUAGAUGUUUGGAGAAUUAACCCUCCGAGUAUCAAAGCUCACGCAUUAAGUAUCCCGCCUGGGGAGUACGGCCGCAAGGCUGAAACUCAAAGGAAUUGACGGGGGCCCGCACAAGCGGUGGAGUAUGUGGUUUAAUUCGAAGCAACGCGCAGAACCUUACCUGGGUUUGACAUCCUACGAAUACUGCAGAGAUGUAGUAGUGUCGCAAGACACGUAGAGGACAGGUGCUGCAUGGCUGUCGUCAGCUCGUGUUGUGAAAUGUUGGGUUAAGUCCCGCAACGAGCGCAACCCCUAUCCUUAGUUGCCACCAUUAAGUUGGACACUCUGGGGAGACCGCCGGUGUUAAACCGGAGGAAGGCGGGGAUGACGUCAAGUCCUCAUGGCCCUUACAUCCAGGGCUACACACGUACUACAAUGGUAGAAACAAAGUGACGCAAAGCCGUAAGGUGGAGCAAAUCACAAAAACACUACCUCAAGUUCGGAUUGAGGUCUGCAACUCGACCU